GACGAACGCUGGCGGCGUGCUUAACACAUGCAAGUCGAACGGUAAGGCCCUUCGGGGUACACGAGUGGCGAACGGGUGAGUAACACGUGGGUGAUCUGCCCUGCACUUUGGGAUAAGCCUGGGAAGCUGGGUCUAAUACCGAAUACACCCUGCUGGUCGCAUGGCCCGGUGGGGGAAAGCUUUUGCGGUGUGGGAUGGGCCCGCGGCCUAUCAGCUUGUUGGUGGGGUGAUGGCCUACCAAGGCGACGACGGGUAGCCGGCCUGAGAGGGUGACCGGCCACACUGGGACUGAGAUACGGCCCAGACUCCUACGGGAGGCAGCAGUGGGGAAUAUUGCACAAUGGGCGCAAGCCUGAUGCAGCGACGCCGCGUGAGGGAUGACGGCCUUCGGGUUGUAAACCUCUUUCAAUAGGGACGAAGCGCGAGUGACGGUACCUAUAGAAGAAGGACCGGCCAACUACGUGCCAGCAGCCGCAGUAA
rnacentral:rRNA from 1 species